rnacentral:rRNA from 1 species
GUGGGGAAUUUUGGACAAUGGGCGAAAGCCUGAUCCAGCCAUGCCGCGUGCAGGAUGAAGGCCUUCGGGUUGUAAAGCUCUGUGGGGAGGGAAGAAAAAGCGGGAGAGUAACUGCUCUCGUGUUGACGGUACCUCCUUAGCAAGCACCGGCUAACUCUGUGCCAGCAGCCGCGGUAAUACAGAGGGUGCAAACGUUGCUCGGAAUUACUGGGCGUAAAGCGCGUGUAGGCUGACAUGCAAGUCGGGUGUGAAAUCCCAGGGCUCAACCUUGGAACUGCACUCGAAACUGCACGUCUUGAGUACUGGAGAGGGAAGAGGAAUUCCGGGUGUAGAGGUGAAAUUCGUAGAUAUCCGGAGGAACACCAGUGGCGAAGGCGGCUUCCUGGACAGUAACUGACGCUGAGACGCGAAAGCGUGGGGAGCAAACAGGAUUAGAUACCCUAGUAGUCC